rnacentral:lncRNA from 1 species
AGGUGUUAAGAGAAGAAGGACUUGGGAGCAGACAUCAAGCAUUAUGUUUGAAAAGUGUUGGUAUCCUAGAGAAUGGGAGAAAAGCAAGUAACGCAUGGGGAUGCACUGGCAACAGUUAUUGGUCACCAGUGUGUGGAAGAUGAUGAGAUGAUGGAAAAAUCAAAAUGGAAUGAGGAGAAUUCAUAUGUUAUUUACUUCCUGGACCUUUGUUCAUGGGAUAUCUAUAAGACAUCUUCCAGAAAAUAUCUUAUAAAAUACAGGUUUGAGAAAAAUGAUUUAUUGGAAAAAGCACUGGGCUUUUCAUAUUCCAGUCCUGCUACUGAGGUGGUGACUCGGGAGAUGAAAUGAACAUUUUAAAAUCUACUUGAUGAAAGAAUUUGCACAUAGAGGUUUCUUUCUGUUUGGGGAAAUUGAGAAACAACAAUAGAAGACUGUUUUCCAGUAGCUAGCAUCCAGGAGAUAUGCCCGAAUUAGUAAAAUGAUUUUAAAUGCUAUUACUUCAGCUAUGCCAUAAAGAAUCUUCAGCUUCUGACUCCCAGGCUGAGCUCUUUUCAUUGUCCCCACAAAGCACCAGCCAGUGGACUACUGGUCACUCCUCCUGGCCUGCCGCAGCCUCUGUCCCAUAACAGGGAGCAAACAGCUGUGGUGGCUCAGAGAAUCCGCCAGGUUGUAGCAAUUUAAUCCAGUGCUCUCAUGAGGAUCUGCUGCGAGCAUCUCAUGCAGGGGCUCCGAGCUGCCAGCUUUCCCUCCGAGCUGCCUUCAGCGUCCUGUCCUCGCCCUCACAGCCUAGGAGAUUUAUCUGGCAUGAAAUAUCUGGGGCAAUUUAUCUGCUCUAGCCAGCUCCUCAUAAACCAAUCCUAGCUGUAGGCCUUAGUCAGUGCUCUGGCUGGUCUGCUCAUUUCUCCUUACAAGGAGAG